rnacentral:rRNA from 1 species
UACGUAGGGGGCGAGCGUUGUCCGAAGUUACUGGGCGUAAAGCGCGCGUAGGCGGGAGCGUAAGUCCGCUGUGAAAGCCCUAAGCUCAACUUAGGAGGGUCGGUGGAGACUGCGUUUCUUGAAGGUGCUAGAGGGAGAUGGAAUUACCGGUGUAGCGGUGAAAUUCGUAGAUAUUCGCAAGAACACCAGUGGCGAAGGCGGCUCACUGGCCCGGUACUGACGCUGAGGUGCGGAAGCGUGGGGAGCAAACAGG